rnacentral:rRNA from 1 species
CCUACGGGCGGCUGCAGUGAGGAAUCUUGCACAAUGGGGGCAACCCUGAUGCAGCGACGCCGCGUGAAUGAUGAAGGCUUUCGGGUUGUAAAGUUCAGUAAGCAGGGAAGAAUAAGCGCCGGGUAAUAUUCGGUGUGAUGACGGUACCUGCCUAAAGCCCCGGCUAACUACGUGCCAGCAGCCGCGGUAAUACGUAUGGGGCGAGCGUUGUUCGGAAUUAUUGGGCGUAAAGGGCGUCUAGGCGGGGGAUUAAGUUAGAUGUGAAAGCUAUGGGCUCAACCCAUAAAUUGCAUCUAAGACUGGUUCUCUUGAGUUCGGGAGAGGAGAGCGGAAUUCCAGGUGUAGCGGUGAAAUGCGUAGAUAUCUGGAAGAACACCAGUGGCGAAGGCGGCUCUCUGGCCUAGGACUGACGCUGAAGCGCGAAAGCGUGGGGAGCGAACAGGAUUAGAUACCCCAGUAGUC